UACGGAGGAUGCAAGCGUAAUCCGGAAUGAUUGGCCGUAAAGCGUCCGCAGGUGGUUGUGUGUGUCUAUUGUCAAAGCAUCAUGCUUAACAUGAUAAAGGCAGUAGAAACAACACGACUAGAGUGCGUUCGGGGCAGAGGGAAUUCCUGGUGUAGCGGUGAAAUGCGUAGAGAGCAGGAAGAACACCGGUGGCGAAAGCGCUCUGCUAGGCCGCAACUGACACUGAGGGCCGAAAGCUAGGGGAGCGAAUGGG
rnacentral:rRNA from 1 species